AUGACAAUUUGCAAUAUCAGUAAAACAGUUUGGAGCAAAAUACUCUGACCUGUGCCUUGGCUGGUAAGCAGCAAAGAAAGAGGAAGUCAUGUGUCUGUCAGGGCUUUAUAUAUGGAUGUGAUGCCUGUUACUGAUUGGUUUAAAGUUUUUUUCUGAUUGACUUGUGCUCCUGAGGGCAUAAAGUAAAGAAAGUUAUGCAAAAUAUGAAGCC